rnacentral:tRNA from 1 species
UAAGACUUUAAGUUAACUAAACUAUUAGCCUUCAAAGUUAAAAAAAUCUAGACUGGAUAAGUCUUAG